CCUCAACUCUAGAGCCACCGACCAGGGAUCAAACAAAGCAGCUCUCUGCUCCUUCUGGGUCCAGCCUGGUUUUAGAUGGCCUGUCAUGACUGGUCGGGGACUUUGCAAAGACGCUGACAUUCUCUGAGAUUUUUUUCUUUUCAAGUUCAACAGGAACGCUGAGUAAGUGGCAGAUGGAGAACAGCGAGCUGUCUUCUGUCUCUGGUCUGUGUUAGCAUUAUAUCUACACCGAGCCGGACAGUGUGUUUGUUUGGGGAGAGACACGAGACACCCUCCCCCACCAAGGACUGGUCCUGCUCAUCUGCCAAGAACCACAAGGUUUCCCGGCUUGAGAAUCCUAUAGUCUCUGCCUGUGUUGAGGACAACCUGCUGAGGUUUGGUCUUUUGCUUGGAUGGUAAUGCUAAAUACUGGGCCCCAAGGUCCAACUGCCCCUGGGGACAAGAGAGUCAGUAUGAACCACGGGGAGGAGAGGUAGAGAGAGGAGGAGAUGCCAUGGGUUAGCUCUGGCUCUCUCCAUCCACCCGCUCCUGUCAGAGCAUCCUUCCCCUGGGAGAUCAAGGACCUGCCAAGGAAGACCAUGCAUGGAAGCCAACUUUACACGGGAGGAAAUGCAGCCCGACACAUCCGAAAAAAGCUAACUCCCAUGAGUACCUGGAUCCAGCGCUACCCGAGGCUAGCCGUUCCUUCCUAUCCUCCGAUUCUGAGAAAAUAAUCUUCUGGCCGUGCAUAGAGUGGGGAACCCAUGCUCCUACCUGGUCCCCUAACCCCUCCUGUUGUGAUAGCCCAACCCAGGACUUAGUACGAACAGUUCUCUGUAGACAGUGAGCCAUCUGGCUCGCUGGUUCUCCUUCAUCCCCACUGGUCCCCCACCUGCCAGCUGUGCUAUUGGCCACUCCGUGGUGAUGUAUAUUUAACAAGGGCUCAGAAUCAAAUUAAUUCAGAUUAGUUAAUAAACGGCAACCUCCAUCUUCCUCUCGGGCAAGCUAAAU
rnacentral:lncRNA from 1 species